rnacentral:antisense_RNA from 1 species
CUUCAGCGUGCCCAGCCACAGCGGCUGCUCCGGGCUCCGAUCGCGGCCGUAGACCGACAACAGGGCCUGGGCCUC